CACACCGCUUAUUUUGACCCAAAAAACCAAGAUGAAUUUCAGAAAAACAAGCACCCUUUUGAUCAUUUUUGUUAUCUGUGUGGCUAUUUUAAGCCAUGGUGGUGUUGAAGCAACAAGGGUGUUAUCUGAGGAUUUUGGCAAUGCUAAUAGCCUCGAGAUAGGUUCCCCUAUUUAUGUGAAGGCAAAGGACAUCAUGGCGUAUUGGCUUCAAAGGUUGCCAUCGGGACCUAGUCCUGGUGGUGAAGGUCACUAGUUCAUUCAAGUUGUGAAAUAGAAAAGUAUUAUACAGAUUUACCCAAAAAAAAUAUAUACAUACAUUGGUUUUGUGUUU